CGAGCCGCCAUUUGGGGUGUGGCGCCUCCGGAGGAAUAGGGCGCAUUGAGCCUCGUAGGUACCCAGUUGCCUCCGCCUACUUUCUGAGCGCCUUCUGCAAACCCUCCGCUUUCUGCUUGUUCCCUUCCAGCCACCCCAGCCUCCUUCUGCCGGCCCAACAUGCCCCCACCACCAGGCCUUUGCAUUAGCAGUCUACACUGUCCUCCCUAUUGCAAUCCACCUGUCCCCAUCCGAAAGAUCGCAUAGCCUGCUCCCCACCUUCACCACUCAAACUCGCCCCCAUCCCGUGGUACAUUUCUUCAUAGCUCUUGGCACCAUCUGAUCUACUGUGUCUUUUUUUCUUUUUGCCCACCCCGCCCCCCCCGCCAUAAACGGGUAAGCAAGGAUGGGAUUCCUAGAACUAACUCUGGCAUGUAGCAGACACUGAGUCAAUAUUUGCUGAGUACGUGAAUGGGUGGACAUAUGCCUUUCCCCCUUAGUGCUUGCAUUUCAAAUAGCUUACUGCUAAAACUCCAUGGAAUAAGUUCAUGCUUUGGAGUCAGAACUGGGUAUGGAUGAGGGCACUGGUUUUAUAGGGCUGCGGUAAUGUAUCCACUUGCAUUUCUGGAAGCCACAUGUUCGAAAUAACAUCGGUACAAGGAUGUGCUCCCUCCAAAGGCUCUAGGAAACAAACCUUUCUUGCUUUUUUCCCUGCUUUUGGUGGGUGCCAGAGAUCCUUGGCGUCUGGUCUGGCAGCAGCAUCACCCAGGUUCUUUCUCUGUCUUCACCUGGCCAUCUCCCCACUCGGUGUCCCCAUAGGUCCUCUCCUGAGAACAUCAGUCAUACUGGAUUCAAGAGCCUACCUUAAGCUGGUGAGUACCUGUAAUCCAGCUAUUUGAGAGGAUGAGGCAGGACAGGAGGAUAGCAAGUUCCAGGCCAGCCAGGGCAACCUAAGUUGAAACCAUGUCUCAAAAUAAAAAUAAAUAAAAGCAGGCUGGGUUUGGGUGUGGUCACUCACAUUUGUAAUUCCAGAGACUAACGAGAGUGAGAAUUGAAAGUUUGAGAGUAGUCUUGGCGAUUUAUCAGACCCUGUGGCAAAAUAAAAAAGGCUGGGAAUAUAAUUUAGUGUUAAAGCACUUGCCUAGAGUGCAUAAGGCCCAGGAUUCAAUCCCCAGUAUCUCUCCCCCCACCCCCAAAAAAAGAACAUCCAGUUUAGUCCACAGUUAAGUACAACUUCAGACAUUGAAAAGAAAAAAAAUGGGUGUAGCCAGGUUCAGUGGUACACACCUGUAGUCCCAGCCACUCUGGAUGUUAAGGCAGGAGGAUUACUUGAAGCCAGCUAGAGCAACAUUCAAGACCAGGU
rnacentral:lncRNA from 1 species